UACAGAGGGUGCAGACGUGUUCGGAAUUACUGGGCGUAAAGCGUGUGUAGGCGGCUACAUAAGUCGGAUGUGAAAGCCCCGGGCUCAACCCGGGAAGUGCACUCGAUACUGCGUAGCUUGAGUCUCGGAGAGGUUGGUGGAAUUCUCGGUGUAGAGGUGAAAUUCGUAGAUAUCGUGAGGAACACCAGAGGCGAAGGCGGUUACCUGGACAGUUACUGACGCUCAGGCACGAAAGCAUGGGGAGCAAAAGGG
rnacentral:rRNA from 1 species